ACUUCGGCUUAAUAAAUAACUGGUAAACUCAAAAAGUUAAGUGAACAAUACAUCGUCUUUGCAUGCUUUCAAAACUGCAAUUUUAAAUUAUAAGACAAAAUUAAGCAUUGAAAGACCAGUGCAGCUUUUAUAAUAAAGGUAAUUAACUUUUUGUCAAAAAUUAAAAUAACAUAUAACAGAGAAAUUAAGUAAGUGAUUAAUAAAAUAAUACAGGCAACCUCGAAAAUAUAAAAAUUCAAAAAAAAGACAGGUUUAUAAUAUUCCAGAAAGCGAAUAAAUCAGUAGUCGCAGGAAAUAUGAGAUAUGUAACGCUUACUAAAUCCAUUUUCUUUUUUAAAGUAACAGAUAUAACAUUUAUUAUCAGUGUACACACAUUGAUUUUUGGUAAAUAAAAGACUUACUUUUUGUUAGGCUUAUGUAUACAUCUUAAGUAUUAUAGACUUGAGUACAAUUUCACUUUUGCAGCAUCCAAAUAGGAAAUUGUACAUAAGCCUAUUAUAGUCUACAUCCAUUUUGAAAGUGUAUGAUAGUUUUCAUCAGUAGAAAUCUAUUUUUAUCUUUAGAACCUUGAAUUUUGUCUCGCUAAUAUUUUAUCAAGAUAGAGGUCAGUCUAACGAAAUCAGUGUGGUAUUCUUAUUGAUUUUUGGUAUAUCAUUACCAAAAUUUUUGGGAAUCGAUACGAGUAUUUAUCUAAGAAUUCAGAGUUUCGUGUAGUUCAUUUUUUCCGAAAGCUAUGUGGGAAAUGAUGUCUAAUCCGGCUAAUACUUUGCCGCCUAAGUUUGAUGGUUAUGAACCAAUAAAUUAUGAUCCUGCUUUUACUGUCCAAAUUAAUGAAUCUAUGAUUGUACCAAACAAGAUUGGUUUAACCAAGGAAAAUAGCGACACAGCUCCUGGAGGACCUCAAGUUGAACUUGAAUCAAAAUCAAUGAAUGUACCAGCUAAGAUUGUGUUAGAUGGUAAUAACAGACAUAUUGGACUGCCUAAUGAACCUAGACUGCAUUUAGAUCUAAACGGGUUGCCUGACCAGGCAGAAGCUAUUGUAUUAGAGACCCCCCCAAGAACUUUAAGUAUUGGCGAAUCUAAAUUCUCUUCAAUGAGCAAAAUUGAAAAACAGGAGGAGACUGAUCAGUAUCCAAUAAGUGAAGGUUUCAACACGCCGAAAGAUACAGCCUCCAGCAGAGAUAAUAGAGUCUAUGUUGGAGGUGGUGGAGAACCAUUUGAGAAGCAAUCAGAACAGGACUUAGUUAUGAAUAUGCAUUCACGUUUAAAUACAAUAGAGAGACACAUUACUCACCUACAAGAUGAAAAUGAAAAGAUGAAACAACGCGAAAUAAUCCUCUGUACUGUAGUUGCCGGCUAUUUUCUACUAAAGUCCUUCAAAUGGCUUUUUCAUAAGAAUUAACUUAAGUUUUAUUAUAUAAUUGCUUCCCAUUGCACUGGAUAUAUUUUUUUUUUAAUAUCAGCUUUAACUUUCUGAAUUGUUCUCAAGCUUUUUAAAUAUUUUGAGGAGCGAAUUAUAAAAGUCAUUAAGUCAUUAUAAAACGAGACACUGUUGUUUUUGUAUCUCAUUCAUGAAUUAUUCGAGUUUUAUUUACUAGAUCUGCUCGCUUUAUCGAUAUCUUAAAACAAUUGGACGUGAUAAGUCUUUCAUUAACUAAUUGAAAGGUAUUUAUUUAGUCUUUGUUGGGAGAAACCUAAAUCAAGUAUAAAAUUUUAGUAAACUGUAGGAGACAAGAUUCCUAAGAAAUUGACUAACUUAUUUAAGAUAAGAUUGCGCUUUGCAAUCUUAGUAGAAGGGUUUAUGAAAACACUAUCCUUAAGUCUAUCUUACACGAAACUGAACUCGAAUAUGCUAAUUUUUUUCUUAAUGGAAUUAUCUACUCUCUCCAUUGCAGCAUAUAUUAAAACAAUGGAUUCAAUUUGCUUAUACUAUCGAUUUAUAAUCUUCUUCUUUAUUCCAUUGAUCAAUCCCAAAGGAACUCAGGUCCUAAAACUAAAUUAAGGUUCAUUCGAUAAAGUUGUACUAGAAGUGUCUGAUCCUGAUGAAUGAUUCGAUAAACCCAAAGAUUAAUUAAAAUGUUAAGGGAGAUCUGUGAAAGUUCGUUUCUAUAAUAGAUUUAGCACAGAAUAAACGUUUUCUCCAAUAUAAACUAAAAAAUCGUCUAAUGUUUU
rnacentral:misc_RNA from 1 species